UUCUACUCUCAGCUCAUUAACACAUUUUUAUAUCUUUAGCUCUAAUAUCUUAAUUAGAGGAUAUUCAAAACUCAACAUUAGAAUCGCAUGUUACUGCUCCAACCAAUUUUCUGGUAUAUGUAAAUUGAAACACAUCUCGUGUUUAGGUUUAGCUACUUGACCUACUCUUCAUAAACCAUUAAUUUUUUGAAAUGGUCAUAUUUAGACCACCUUUUGUCAAAUAAGUUUUGAGCCAAAAAUUUUUACGAAACAAGGUAAUGCGGAAGUGGCACUACCGGACUCGUGAUUUCAAAGCGAGGCCGGUAGUGGCACUAUCGGUGUCACGAUCAAAGACCGAGACCGGUGUUGGCACUACCGGUCUCGUGUGUGGCACAGUAGACACAGCAGGUUGGAGUUGACAAGGCACUUUGAGUCCGAGGAUGCCACUUCCGGUCUCGAACAUCAAGACAAAUAUUUUCGAAUUGUUGUAGCGACAAACUGAAGAUACCCAUCGUGCAUACAAUAUUUUCCAUGAACGCCAAGUGAGUGAGCCAAGAUGUAGAAACGGUGAUGGAGGAAUCAUGUUAGAACUUGCAAAGAUGAAGAAAAACAAAACAAUCUGUGAGAAGGUCAUGACCAAUAUGAUCAGGAAUGCUGGGUUUGAGGGUGUAUUGAUGUCACUGGUCCACAAAAUCGAUCAUCCACCCAUUACCGCGUUGGUUGAAAGAUGGCGUCCCAAGACAAACACAUUUCAUUUGCCAAUUGGUGAAGCAACUGUUACCCUGCAGGAUAUGCAGGUGAUGUGGGGUUUACCCAUAGAUGGACCAGCUGUGACUGGUGAGUAGGCUACGGAACCACGUAAUCUUGAUUUCUGGAAUGACAUGUGUAUGGAUUGUUUUGGGUUUUUUCCUACUGAUGAAGAAUACGAAGAUAGUUUGAGCAACGGUCAAAUCAGAUGGAGUCGUUAGCAUGAAAAUAAUACAUAUUAAAUUAACAUCACAUUAACUUAGAUAAGAAUAAUACAUAUUCAAAAUACUACAUAAACUUUUUAUCUGAAA